UAGGACAGAACUAUCACACAAUAGGACAGACAUUCUAAUUCUCUCCCCCCAAAUUCUCCCUAAAUCACUACCCUGAUUCUUACACCUACUACACCAUUUUUCUAAAUUCCACCACCAAAACCCUUAUUUUUAAGUCUUAAAGUUGUACACACAAUUAUACCUUUUAAUUAGAAAAACCUUAAUUUUUAAAUAAUUCCUAAUAUACCUUCACUCUAAAAAACCUUUUUUUAUCAAAUAGCCAAAACUCACG
rnacentral:lncRNA from 1 species